UCCCCUUCAGGAUGGCACCUGGAGAGUUUCCAGUAGUCUAGCAGUUUCAGCUACAGGAGGGAGAGUUAAGCAGAGUCAUACACAUUCCAUUCCUAGCUUGACCAGUGGCUAGUGAGUGGAAGGAAAUCUGCUACAAGU